GUGGGAAAUUGGCAGAGAGCUUCUGCGAAUUCCCAUGAGAAAGAAAUCAGGGUUACUUCCUGAAAGAUAUACACCUAAAAAUAACUACCAUAAACCAAAAUCUGUCAAAUCCUGUCCCUCAAACGUGAUACAAAAGCGUGUGAUUAAGUGUGAUACAAAAGCUCAAUAGAUCAAUGGUACAAGGAUAUUGGAACAAGAAAUCGUAUCAGGCCCCGAUUGAGAGGUACUACUGGGGUACUACGUUGGUGGAGGUGGUAUAAAUAAAACAGCCACUUUACGGUAUGAGCCUGGACCCUUGAACCAAAGACCGUCACACAGAUGAGAAAUUAGUUCAGGGAAAUGGGCUAUUGAGAAAGUACACUUGCUAUCACCCACAUAGACACAUUCACAAUAUCGCCCCACAAUCGUUAGUCACAGCCAAUGUGGCAGGAAAUAAAUCCUGAAUUGACUUGGACAAUUAGUUUAAAAAAAAGAAAAAUUCCUGACACUAUCCCCGCUAACACAAACACAUGCACAUAUGUUUUAAGGACUUGAACACACGCAGAUACUCACCGAAAGUGAGUCUUUAUCCAGGGUGAAAUAGAAUUUAAUAGCUACUCGUAUAGUUAAUCCCAGUAGAUGACCAAAAUCUUUGUCUGCGUUUGAUUGAAGGACUUAAGGUGAAACUUUAGCCAGGUUUGUAGGUCAGUCUUUUGAAAUAUGAAGUCAAUAGAUGUUUCAGAAAGUCUGUGUGACGACUCACAAGAACUGCAACUAGUGUAACUUCCUGUUUACCACACACAUAUCCCUCACAAACCACUUUAUCAGUCACUCAAUCCAUGUCAGGUUACCCACCGUCCGACCGUGAUUUUCUAUAUAUUUAACCUGCUGGUAUAGUGUUUUUUGGUGUUGCUUUUUGUUGCCAGGCGUUUUUGCUUUCUCCUUCUCCAAUGUGUCAAGUCUAGUUUCUGCCAGUAAAGAUCCUAAACCUGGAAAGAGGUAUUUCUUGUUACAUUCCUUUGCACCCGAGUCUCAGUCCUGAUCGCUCAGUCUGGAGGUGGAAAACAUGGGACACAAGUUGACAGGUGCCAACCUUUUCUCCUAAAAAAAGAUUUAUUUUGUUCACAUGUUCUUUUAUGUCUGACGCUUAACAGCUAACUGCUCACAUCAGCAUGCUGAGCUGCUCUUAAGUUGUUUCUAAUCAGGUAUAAUUUUUUCAAUGUCACAUUGUUGUUUCAGAACGCAACAUGCAAAUAGAUGCUAAUUAGUAUUUAACACAAAGUGCAGCUGAGACUGAUGGCGACGUCAAUGGUGCAAUUAUACAAUUAAAGCUGUAUUAAACAAUUAAUACACAAACCAUCAACGUUGUUUCUCCGUAGUUAUCUAUUAAUUCAUUAUAGUUGAGAUAUUGCAAUUAAGGACAAAAGUGUCACGAUUCCACCCCCCGUGAGCCCAGUGAGACAGCCUCCUUGUGGAAGAGUUGCAUACCUAAUGUGAGAUGUCGACAGUCGACCCCCGCUGAGAGCUCACCUGGAGAGGAUCCUCAUGAGGUGUUUAUUCAAAGUUGUGUGCUGCAGCAUGCUGGGGAUUAUUUUGUUCUUUGUAUGCAAUGUAUGUAUUUAAUGCUGAAUUCCUUGUAUUUUGAUGCCAGCCUAGAUGAGUCAUUUUAUGAGGCUCUAUUUGAUUUAGUUUUCUACCACUUCUCUUUCUUUGAGUCCUCAGUUUAUUUUGCUCUGUGAUUGUGUAUACUGAGUAAAGUUGUCCCUCUUCCCAUCUUCUCUGUGAGCGUCUGCAUUCUAAGUCACUUAAUUAUCACCUUAUUUUAAAUAAGCAUCAAUCCAUAGAUUGCUGAACCUUGUUGUGGCACACUAUGAUAAAAUUCAGGAAAUGACCAAUGACAUUAACAUCCCCCCUGGCGACCAUAGAUUUCUGUUCAGAAUUGAAUGGCAAUCUCUUAAAAUUGUCUGGUGCCCUUCCCUAAUUGUUUGGAGAGGACUAAUGUUAGUGACAAUACCUAAAAUAUGGGAAACAUGUUUGCAGGUUCCCUUUAUUGGGCACUUAUCCAAGUAACUAGUCAUAACUCAACAUAUUGCUACAAUCAGUGGUGGUUGGUUGAACAUUUUCUAGGUGGGGCUAUCCAAUCUAUUUCAGCAAACAUCCCUACAUUCAAUUUAUUUAUUUAUUGCAACACAAAACAUAGGUGUAAAUUAAAGUUUAACAAUCGCAUUGGUCACCCUCACAGGCAAAUAAUAAU
ensembl:lncRNA